UUCCGUUAAUUGAUUAUGACGUACUUGUACUGAUUGAGAUUUUAACACGAAGUGAGUGGCGAACGGGUGAGUAACACGUGGGUAACCUGCCCAGAAGUAGGGGAUAACACCUGGAAACAGAUGCUAAUACCGUAUAACAGAGAAAACCGCAUGGUUUUCUUUUAAAAGAUGGCUCUGCUAUCACUUCUGGAUGGACCCGCGGCGUAUUAGCUAGUUGGUGAGGUAAAGGCUCACCAAGGCAGUGAUACGUAGCCGACCUGAGAGGGUAAUCGGCCACAUUGGGACUGAGACACGGCCCAGACUCCUACGGGAGGCAGCAGUAGGGAAUCUUCCACAAUGGACGCAAGUCUGAUGGAGCAACGCCGCGUGAGUGAAGAAGGGUUUCGGCUCGUAAAGCUCUGUUGUUAAAGAAGAACGUGGGUAAGAGUAACUGUUUACCCAGUGACGGUAUUUAACCAGAAAGCCACGGCUAACUACGUGCCAGCAGCCGCGGUAAUACGUAGGUGGCAAGCGUUAUCCGGAUUUAUUGGGCGUAAAGCGAGCGCAGGCGGUCUUUUAAGUCUAAUGUGAAAGCCUUCGGCUCAACCGAAGAAGUGCAUUGGAAACUGGGAGACUUGAGUGCAGAAGAGGACAGUGGAACUCCAUGUGUAGCGGUGAAAUGCGUAGAUAUAUGGAAGAACACCAGUGGCGAAGGCGGCUGUCUGGUCUGCAACUGACGCUGAGGCUCGAAAGCAUGGGUAGCGAACAGGAUUAGAUACCCUGGUAGUCCAUGCCGUAAACGAUGAUUACUAAGUGUUGGAGGGUUUCCGCCCUUCAGUGCUGCAGCUAACGCAUUAAGUAAUCCGCCUGGGGAGUACGACCGCAAGGUUGAAACUCAAAAGAAUUGACGGGGGCCCGCACAAGCGGUGGAGCAUGUGGUUUAAUUCGAAGCUACGCGAAGAACCUUACCAGGUCUUGACAUCUUCUGACAGUCUAAGAGAUUAGAGGUUCCCUUCGGGGACAGAAUGACAGGUGGUGCAUGGUUGUCGUCAGCUCGUGUCGUGAGAUGUUGGGUUAAGUCCCGCAACGAGCGCAACCCUUAUUACUAGUUGCCAGCAUUAAGUUGGGCACUCUAGUGAGACUGCCGGUGACAAACCGGAGGAAGGUGGGGACGACGUCAAAUCAUCAUGCCCCUUAUGACCUGGGCUACACACGUGCUACAAUGGAUGGUACAACGAGUCGCGAGACCGCGAGGUUAAGCUAAUCUCUUAAAACCAUUCUCAGUUCGGACUGUAGGCUGCAACUCGCCUACACGAAGUCGGAAUCGCUAGUAAUCGCGGAUCAGCAUGCCGCGGUGAAUACGUUCCCGGGCCUUGUACACACCGCCCGUCACACCAUGAGAGUUUGUAACACCCAAAGCCGGUGGGG
rnacentral:rRNA from 1 species